AGAGUUUGAUCCUGGCUCAGGAUGAACGCUGGCGGCGUGCUUAACACAUGCAAGUCGAACGAACCUUCGGGUUAGUGGCGGACGGGUGAGUAACGCGUGAGAAUCUGCCCUCAGGAGGGGGAUGACAGUUGGAAACGACUGCUAAUACCCCAUAUGCCGAGAGGUGAAAUGAAUUUCGCCUGGGGAUGAGCUCGCGUCUGAUUAGCUUGUUGGUGGGGUAAUAGCCUACCAAGGCUUCGAUCAGUAGCUGGUCUGAGAGGACGAUCAGCCACACUGGGACUGAGACACGGCCCAGACUCCUACGGGAGGCAGCAGUGGGGAAUUUUCCGCAAUGGGCGAAAGCCUGACGGAGCAACGCCGCGUGAGGGAUGGAGGCCUUUGGGCUGUAAACCUCUUUUCUCAAGGAAGAAGAUCUGACGGUACUUGAGGAAUAAGCCACGGCUAAUUCCGUGCCAGCAGCCGCGGUAAUACGGGAGUGGCAAGCGUUAUCCGGAAUUAUUGGGCGUAAAGCGUCCGCAGGCGGCCGUUUAAGUCUGUUGUUAAAUCGUGGAGCUCAACUCCAUCACGGCAAUGGAAACUGUUCGGCUUGAGUAUGGUAGGGGCAGAGGGAAUUUCCGGUGUAGCGGUGAAAUGCGUAGAUAUCGGGAAGAACACCAGUGGCGAAAGCGCUCUGCUGGGCCAUUACUGACGCUCAUGGACGAAAGCCAGGGGAGCGAAAGGGAUUAGAUACCCCUGUAGUCCUGGCCGUAAACGAUGAACACUAGAUGUUGGGGGAAUCGACCCCCUCGGUGUCGUAGCUAACGCGUUAAGUGUUCCGCCUGGGGAGUACGCACGCAAGUGUGAAACUCAAAGGAAUUGACGGGGGCCCGCACAAGCGGUGGAGUAUGUGGUUUAAUUCGAUGCAACGCGAAGAACCUUACCAAGGCUUGACAUCCUGCGAAUCUCUAAGAAAUUAGAGAGUGCCUUCGGGAACGCAGUGACAGGUGGUGCAUGGCUGUCGUCAGCUCGUGUCGUGAGAUGUUGGGUUAAGUCCCGCAACGAGCGCAACCCACGUUUUUAGUUGCCAGCAUUCAGUUGGGCACUCUAGAAAGACUGCCGGUGACAAACCGGAGGAAGGUGUGGACGACGUCAAGUCAUCAUGCCCCUUACGCCUUGGGCUACACACGUACUACAAUGCUGCGGACAAAGAGUAGCGAUCUUGCGAAAGUUAGCUAAUCUCAUAAACCGUGGCUCAGUUCAGAUCGUAGGCUGCAACUCGCCUACGUGAAGGAGGAAUCGCUAGUAAUCGCAGGUCAGCAUACUGCGGUGAAUACGUUCCCGGGCCUUGUACACACCGCCCGUCACACCAUGGAAGUUGGCCAUGCCCGAAGUCGUUACUCUAACCUUUUGGAAGAGGGCGCCGAAGGCAGGGCUAAUGACUGGGGUGAAGUCGUAACAAGGUAACC
rnacentral:rRNA from 1 species